UGCACACACUUCUGUGUGGAUUUAUUCGUUUAUUCGUCACAAGCUUGUCAUUUGCUGGUGGGAAGAAAGUUGUAUCCAGACUGCUGUGAUGUGAUGCUGUUACAAGAGUAUUUCAAAAUUUCGCUCAGCCUGGGACGAAAAUCUGCGAUAUCCAAAAUUUUAAAGAAAUGUCAUGUCUACAAGAUCUGGAUCAGAUUGGACUAUUAUUAUAGCCAGAAUGAAGAAAUUAAUUUUCAGUUGCUACGCUGAAAUGUUCGUUAACAUCAAACCAAGUGGUCGGUCGUUCAUUUACAUAUCUACGUCAAACGCGUCACUGUAACUGUGCUACUUUUCGAGGCUAUUUUCGAGGCAGUUUCUUGGUAAAGAUAUCCUAGGAACUUCAACGUGAUGUGCUGCCGGAACCGACAGACGACAAUACGGAAGCGCCAGCUUCAAGAAAACCCAUCGAUGUUUAGAUGCCUGGAGUUUAUCUUGUGCGGCCUCAAAGUGUGAGAUCCCCGUGAGGCUGGCCCUGAACUGAAGUACGAACCAGAUGCUCCAUCUCCAGAGGCUUCCAUACCCGCAAGACCGCUCUACCAUCUUUUCAAAUGUAAGUGCACCGCAACUUUCGGUGGCAGAAAAUGGAGAAUGUUGAAGUGAGGGCCCAGCUCCAGCAACGGAUAUUAAUCCAAAUGCCUCAAUUCCAAUACUGCCAAUACAAUCCAGUGUUUUAGGCACGGAGAGAAAGAGCCGAAUAACCUCCAGAAUGAAGAGCAGAAAUGCCAGCUCCAGAAUCACCUAUUUAACUGUCUGCGGCCAGGUGGGAUCCAGGAUCCCUACAACAGAGCUAGUAGAUGACAAUCAAUGUCCAAUCCAAUCCAAUCAAUCCAGCACUUCCAG